GUCCGUAAGGGUCCGAAUGGGGAAACCCGGACGAAUGGGGAAACCCGGAGGUGGGGUCCGUAAGGGUCUGCGGCUGGAUCCCCUCCUUACUAAGGAGCGUCUGGCUGGUCUGUCCUGUUGGGGUCCGUAAGGGUCCGAAUGGGGAAACCCGGAGGUGUGGUCCUUAAGGGUCCGAAUGGGGAAGCCCGGAGGUGGGUCCGUAAGGGUCCGAAUGGGAAACCCGGAGGUGGGGUCCAUAAGGGUCCGAAUGGGGAACCCGGAGGUGGGGUCCGUAAGGGUCCGAAUGGGGAAGCCCGGAGGUGGGGUCCGUAAGGGUCCGAAUGGGGAAACCCGGGGGUGGGGUCGUAAGGGUCCGAAUGGGGAAACCCGGAGUCCGUAAGGGGUCCGAAUGGGGUCCGUAAGGGUCGGGGUCCGAAUG
rnacentral:misc_RNA from 1 species